rnacentral:rRNA from 1 species
AAAUUUAUGCUUCGUAGGUGACCUGCGGAAGGAUCAUUACCGAGUGCGGGCCCUCGUGGCCCAACCUCCCACCCUUGUCUCUAUACACCUGUUGCUUUGGCGGGCCCACCGGGGCCACCUGGUCGCCGGGGGACAUCUGUCCCCGGGCCCGCGCCCGCCGAAGCGCUCUGUGAACCCUGAUGAAGAUGGGCUGUCUGAGUACUAUGAAAAUUGUCAAAACUUUCAACAAUGGAUCUCUUGGUUCCGGCAUCGAUGAAGAACGCAGCGAAAUGCGAUAAGUAAUGUGAAUUGCAGAAUUCCGUGAAUCAUCGAAUCUUUGAACGCACAUUGCGCCCCCUGGCAUUCCGGGGGGCAUGCCUGUCCGAGCGUCAUUUCUGCCCUCAAGCACGGCUUGUGUGUUGGGUGCGGUCCCCCCGGGGACCUGCCCGAAAGGCAGCGGCGACGUCCGUCUGGUCCUCGAGCGUAUGGGGCUUUGUCACUCGCUCGGGAAGGACUGGCGGGGGUUGGUCACCACCAAAAUUUUACCACGGUUGACCUCGGAUCAGGUAGGAGUUACCCGCUGAACUUAAGCAUAUCAUGGCCGGAAGGAA